rnacentral:rRNA from 1 species
GACGAACGCUGGCGGCGUGCCUAACACAUGCAAGUCGAGCGAGGAACUUCGGUUCCUAGCGGCGGACGGGUGAGUAACACGUGGGUAACCUGCCUCAUAGUGGGGGAUAGCCCUCCGAAAGGAGGAUUAAUACCGCAUAAGAAGUAAGAAUCGCAUGAUUCUAGCUUUAAAGGAGUAAUCCGCUAUGAGAUGGACCCGCGGCGCAUUAGCUAGUUGGUGAGGUAACGGCUCACCAAGGCCACGAUGCGUAGCCGACCUGAGAGGGUGAUCGGCCACAUUGGAACUCAGAUACGGUCCAGACUCCUACGGGAGGCAGCAGUGGGGAAUAUUGCACAAUGGGCGGAAGCCUGAUGCAGCAACGCCGCGUGAGUGAUGAAGGCCUUUGGGUUGUAAAGCUCUGUCUUUUGGGACGAUAAUGACGGUACCAAAGGAGGAAGCCACGGCUAACUACGUGCCAGCAGCCGCCGUAACAC